rnacentral:rRNA from 1 species
GACGAACGCUGGCGGCGUGCUUAACACAUGCAAGUCGAACGGAAAGGCCCCCUUGUGGGGUACUCGAGUGGCGAACGGGUGAGUAACACGUGAGUAACCUACCCUUGACUUUGGGAUAACUUCAGGAAACUGGGGCUAAUACCGGAUAGGAGCUCCUGCUGCAUGGUGGGGGUUGGAAAGUUUCGGCGGUUGGGGAUGGGCUCGCGGCUUAUCAGCUUGUUGGUGGGGUAGUGGCUCACCAAGGCUUUGACGGGUAGCCGGCCUGAGAGGGUGACCGGCCACAUUGGGACUGAGAUACGGCCCAGACUCCUACGGGAGGCAGCAGUGGGGAAUAUUGCACAAUGGGCGGAAGCCUGAUGCAGCAACGCCGCGUGCGGGAUGACGGCCUUCGGGUUGUAAACCGCUUUCGCCUGUGACGAAGCGUGAGUGGCGGUAAUGGGUAAAGAAGCACCGGCUAACUACGUG